UAGGGAAUCUUCGGCAAUGGACGAAAGUCUGACCGAGCAACGCCGCGUGAGUGAAGAAGGUUUUCGGAUCGUAAAACUCUGUUGUUAGAGAAGAACAAGGACGUUAGUAACUGAACGUCCCCUGACGGUAUCUAACCAGAAAGCCACGGCUAACUACGUGCCAGCAGCCGCGGUAAUACGUAGGUGGCAAGCGUUGUCCGGAUUUAUUGGGCGUAAAGCGAGCGCAGGCGGUUUCUUAAGUCUGAUGUGAAAGCCCCCGGCUCAACCGGGGAGGGUCAUUGGAAGCUGGGGGACUUGAGUGCAGAAGAGGAGAGGGGAAUUCCAUGUGUGGCGGUGAAAUGCGUAGAUAUAUGGAGUAACACCAGUGGCGAAGGCGGCUCUAUGGACUGUAACUGACGCUGAGGCUCGAAAGCGUGGGGAGCAAACAGG
rnacentral:rRNA from 1 species